GUUGAAUACAAAAAACUUGUGUCUCUUAUAAAUUUUUAGGAAAAAUUAGAAAAAAUCCUGAUACACAGUUUCACUAUGAAGACUUUACUACAUGUAUCACCUAAGCUUAACAUUAGCAAUGUUCUAUGAUAAUGAAGUAAUGGUCAGAUGGACCAGGUCAGACAGAUAUGUACGCCUUACAAUCAUUCCAUAAUAUAGUUGGCCUGUUGUUUAUAGUAUCUGAUGAACUGACAAAAUUACCAAAACUUAUCAUUGAUGAAUGAACCAUGGAAUGAAGUCAAGGUCUAUAAUACCUUUCAGAUGGCCAUGUACACCUUAUUAUUGUCCCAUGUACCAAGCAUAGCUGAACUAUUGCUAUUAGUAUUUGGAAAAACAUUGACCAAUGAACCUUGAAAAUGAGAUCAAGGUCAGAUGAUACGGACUAGACCGACAUGUUUGCUUUACAUUCAUUCCAUACACCAGGUACAAUUGACUUAUUGCUUAUAGCACUUGAAAAACAGACCAAAACACAAAAAUCUAAGUUUGACCAAUGAACCAUGAAAAUGAGGUCACGGUCAGAUGAAAGCUGCCAGACUGACAUGUACCCUAACAAUCAUUCCAUACACCACAUAUAGUUGACCUACUGCUUAUAGGAUCUGAGUAACUGUAUUAAUCAUUUGACUUUGACAUUGAACACUUGUGCAUGAAAUGAGGUCGAGGUCAGGUGAAAUCUGUCUAGUGGACACAUGGGCGUUACAAGGAAUCCAUAUACCAAAUAUUGUUAUCCUACUACAUGUACUACAUUAUCCUUCGUUCCACAUAUACAAUGUAGGCAACUCUCCUCAUAAAAAAAUAAAAAUACAUUUGUGUCUGUAUUUUUAUCUGUAUUUUAUUUUUCAUUUACAUGUUGUACUGUACGUUAAAUCAAUCAUCCUUAAUCAGAACAAUAGUUGUAUGUGUGAGUGUACGCGAGUGGGGGAGAAAGCUUUUUAUUUUUACUUUAUGUGAUUACAUGCUUGUUAUGAGCC
rnacentral:lncRNA from 1 species